CAACAGUGGAGUCCCCCAGGGCUCAGUACUGGGGCUGGUACUCUCUAGUAUUUUUAUCAGUGAUCUGGACAAGGGGAUUGAGUUCAACCUCAGUAAGUUUGCAGAUGACACCAAGUUAGGUGCAAGUGUUGAUUUGCUUGAGGGCAGGAGGGUUCUACAGAGAGAUCUGGAUAGGAUGGAUCGAUGGGCCAAGGCCACCUGUAUGAGAUUCAACAAGGCUAAGUGCUGGGCACUUGGGGCACAACAACCACAUGCAACGCUACAGGCUGGGGGAAGAGUGGCUGGAGAGCUGCCCAGUGGAAAGGGACCUGGGUGUGUGGUCGAUAGCUGGUUGAAUAUGAGCCAGCAAUGUGCUAAGGUGGCCAAGAAGGCCAACAGCAUCCUGGCUUCUAUCAGAAACAGCAUGGCCUGCAGGACUAGGGAAGCGAUUGUCCCCCUGUACUCGGCUCUGGUGAGGCUGCACCUCAAGUACUGUGUUCAGCUUUGGGCCCCUCAUUACAAGAAGGACAUCAGGGUGCUGGAGCAUGUCCAAAGAAGAGCAACAAAACUGGUAAAGGGCCUAGAGAACAAGUCAUAUGAGGAGCAGCUGAAGGUGAUGGGGUUGUUUAGCCUAGAGAAGAGGAGGCUCAGGGGAGACCUUAUCACCCUCUACACUACCUCAAAGGAGAGUGUAGCAGGGUGGGGGAUCAGUCUCUUCUCCCAAAUAAGAAGCAAUAAGACAAGAGGAAAUGGCCUCAAGUUGCACCAGGAGAGGUUUAAGUUGGAUAUUAGGAAAAAUUUAUUCACUGAGAGAGUUGUGAGGCAUUGGAACAGGCUGCCCAGGGAAGUGGUUGAGUCACCAUCCCUGAGGUGUUUAAAGGAUGUGUAGAUGUGGUGCUUAGGGACAUGGUUUAGUGGUGGAUUUGGCAGUGAUAGGUUAACCACGGGACUCAAUGAUCUUAGAGGUCUUUUCCAACCUGAAUGAUUUUAUGAUUUGUAAAGAAAAGAUGGGCAAUGCUUGUACUACUAAGGCUGCAGCC
rnacentral:lncRNA from 1 species